CUGACGAGCACGCCGCGUGAGUGAUGACGGCCUUCGGGUUGUAAAGCUCUGUUAAUCGGGACGAAAGGCCUUCUUGCGAAUAGUGAGAAGGAUUGACGGUACCGGAAUAGAAAGCCACGGCUAACUACGUGCCAGCAGCCGCGGUAAUACGUAGGUGGCAAGCGUUGUCCGGAAUUAUUGGGCGUAAAGCGCGCGCAGGCGGAUAAGUCAGUCUGUCUUAAAAGUUCGGGGCUUAACCCCGUGAUGGGAUGGAAACUGCCGAUCUAGAGUAUCGGAGAGGAAAGUGGAAUUCCUAGUGUAGCGGUGAAAUGCGUAGAUAUUAGGAAGAACACCAGUGGCGAAGGCGACUUUCUGGACGAAAACUGACGCUGAGGCGCGAAAGCCAGGGGAGCGAACG
rnacentral:rRNA from 1 species